UACGUAGGGUCCGAGCGUUGUCCGGAAUUACUGGGCGUAAAGAGCUCGUAGGCGGUCUGUCGCGUCUGGUGUGAAAUCCCAUGGCUCAACUGUGGGCUUGCAUCGGGUACGGGCAGACUAGAGUGCUGUAGGGGAGACUGGAAUUCCUGGUGUAGCGGUGGAAUGCGCAGAUAUCAGGAGGAACACCGAUGGCGAAGGCAGGUCUCUGGGCAGUUACUGACGCUGAGGAGCGAAAGCAUGGGGAGCGAACAGG
rnacentral:rRNA from 1 species